rnacentral:rRNA from 1 species
GGUUAAGUGAAUAAGGGCGCACGGUGGAUGCCUUGGCACUAGGAGCCGAUGAAGGACGGGACUAACACCGAUAUGCUUUGGGGAGCUGUACGUAAGCUAUGAUCCAGAGAUUUCCGAAUGGGGGAACCCAGCAUCUUUAAUAGGAUGUUACGAUUGUGUGAAUACAUAGCACAUUCGAGGUAGACGCAGAGAACUGAAACAUCUAAGUACCUGCAGGAAGAGAAAGAAAAUUCGAUUCCCUGAGUAGCGGCGAGCGAAACGGGAAAAGCCCAAACCAACAAGCUUGCUUGUUGGGGUUGUAGGACUCCAAUAUGGUCGUUCUUUCAGAUAGUCGAAUGACUUGGAAAAGUCAGUCAAAGAGGGUAAAAACCCCGUAGACGAAAUGUGGAAGACACCUAGGAGGAUCCUGAGUACGGCGGAACACGAGAAAUUCCGU